rnacentral:rRNA from 1 species
CAGCAGCCACGGUAAUACGAAGGGGGCUAGCGUUGCUCGGAAUUACUGGGCGUAAAGGGCGCGUAGGCGGAUAGUUUAGUCAGAGGUGAAAGCCCAGGGCCCAACCCUGGAAUUGCCUUUGAUACUGGCUAUCUUGAGUUCGGGAGAGGUGAGUGGAACUCCGAGUGUAGAGGUGAAAUUCGUAGAUAUUCGGAAGAACACCAGUGGCGAAGGCGACUCACUGGCCCGAUACUGACGCUGAGGCGCGAAAGCGUGGGGAGCAAACAGGAUUAGAUACCCCGGUAGUCCCUGUCUCUUAUAC